GAUCUGAUUCGAAUGGUAAAAUUUCUCUUUGCCAUGGAGAAGAUGCAGGUUCGAUUCCCGCUAUCCAAGAUCCA